UGGCGAAGGCGGCCCCCCUGGACAGAUACUGACACUCAGAUGCGAAAGCGUGGGGAGCACACAGGAUUAGAUACCCUGGUAGUCCACGCCGUAAACGAUGUCCUACUUGGAGGUUGUGGCCCUGAGCCGUGGCUUUCGGAGCUAACGCGUUAAGUAGACCGCCUGGGGAGUACGGUCGCAAGAUUAAAACUCAAAUGAAUUGACGGGGGCCCGCACAGCGGUGGAGCAUGUGGUUUAAUUCGAUGCAACGCGAAGAACCUUACCUACUCUUGACAUCCAGAGAACUUUCCAGAGAUGGAUUGGUGCCUUCGGGAACUCUGAGACAGGUGCUGCAUGGCUGUCGUCAGCUCGUGUUGUGAAAUGUUGGGUUAAGUCCCGCAACGAGCGCAACCCUUAUCCUUGUUUGCCAGCGAGUAAUGUCGGGAACUCCAGGGAGACUGCCGGUGAUAAACCGGAGGAAGGUGGGGACGACGUCAAGUCAUCAUGGCCCUUACGAGUAGGGCUACACACGUGCUACAAUGGCGCAUACAGAGGGCGGCCAACUUGCGAAAGUGAGCGAAUCCCAAAAAGUGCGUCGUAGUCCGGAUUGGAGUCUGCAACUCGACUCCAUGAAGUCGGAAUCGCUAGUAAUCGUGGAUCGAGCAAUGCCCACGGGGGAAUACGUUCCCGGGCGCGUUGUUUCCAACCCCCCCCCCCCCCU
rnacentral:rRNA from 1 species